UCCUGUCACUUUCUGAUGCACAUUUCGCCACAAACAUACUUCCAUAUGCGCAAGACUUUUUCAGCUUUUAAUGAGAGCCACGAUGAAUUAAAAAAUGCAAGAAGCUCUAGUACGGAGUACAAAUAUGGAGCCACUUAAAGUACAUGCACCAUUUUUAGACUCCCUUUGGAUGACAUGCCAACGUAGACCUAGCACUUAGUAAGUUGUUAUCAGUGACGGUGUCUGUCACAACGUAGAUCUUGAUUCUUGAAACCUACCACCAUGGUAUGCACCAUUUUGGCAUUCAUGUUAUCUGAGCAUGUAAUUUGCCAGUCUAAAUAUGGGUAUAUCGAGGAAAGAGAUUCACCAACCAUCGGUACUAGAGAUGGAUCUAUUGAGGGAGGAGGCUCACUUAGAAAAACACAAAAUCACUGAGAUUUAAGGCCAAUACUUAAGGAUUGACACCACUCUAAAUUUAAAACCUUAAAGCAAUGGAUUCUUCUUAUAUGAUGUUUCACUCUUUAUUUUUAUCCAACGUGGAUUCCUAACAUAAAUAAAAAUGAACCUACACAUUUGAAAUGCUACAGCUUACGUUACGUCUUCUCUAAUUGGCAAAGAAAACAUGAUUACAUUAUCAGCAAUUCUAAUUUCAACCCAGUGUUUUCUCAUCUUCAACGGCCAAG
rnacentral:sRNA from 1 species